GACAGAGGGUGCAAACGUUGCUCGGAAUCACUGGGCGUAAAGGGCGUGUAGGCGGGACAGUAAGUCGGGCGUGAAAUCCCUGGGCUCAACCCAGGAACUGCACUCGAAGCUACUAUUCUUGAGUGUCGGAGAGGAAAGCGGAAUUCCUGGUGUAGAGGUGAAAUUCGUAGAUAUCAGGAGGAAUACCGGUGGUGUAGACGGCUCUCUGGACCGCCACUGACGCUGAGACACGAAAGCGUGGGUAGCAAACAGG
rnacentral:rRNA from 1 species